CCUGUGCAAAGAUCAAGAGUUGGAUGCUUAACUGCCUGAGCCACCCAGCUGCAACCUAAACAAAAGAAGUGCUUUUUCAGGAAUAGCAGAGAAUUGCAAUCCAGGACAAGGAAGCUACAGCAAAACCAUAGGCAAUUCCAGAGAACAAAGGAGAGUCUUUGCAAAAAAACCUAAACAAACAAACAAAAAACCACAACUUCUUAGCUCUAUUCAAGCAGCAAGUGAACAGAAUUUAUUUUUGCCAAAUAAGGUCCCUGGGUCCAAUGGAUACAUUUGGAAUGUACUAGGCCAUUUGUUAACUAAGAUUUGCAAAGGUGCUUAAAGCUCAUGCAUGGACCCCAGAUUGGAAUCCUCGAGACAAGCAAAAGCACUUGCCCAGGACUGAUGGCCGCUCGUCCCACUGUGAUGGCCAUGGGAGAGGAAGAGUGGAUGGGGACAACUGCCUUUCCCCCAGGGAAUGCGUCCAGCAGCCCUCAGUCGAAGCACUGUUGCUAUAAGCUAUCUCGGGGGUGCUCUAGGGCCCCCUCCUUCAGCUCACCUCUGGGGAAAGUACGCACUGUAUUAACUUUGAGGAUUUUCCUCCCCAACAAUAAAUGGAGACAACCUCAGUUGCCAGUGCCCCAGAGCCUGGGGCGCUUUGCCCUCAAAAAAAAAAAAGCUCCAGCAGCUGAGCCCUGGAGUGCCUCAUGGCAGGGCUCCUUCUUCCCUUCUGACUUGACAGUACAGUUCACCAUGGUGCCAACGCCAUCUGGGGCCAGCUGGGCAGAGCCAGGGCUCCUCAUGGACAUCCUGAGCAUCCGAAAGAGGCGAAGGCCUCUGAGGGGAGACGGUUCAGGCCAUCCUCAUCCAUUUAUCCAAUUUAUACAAUCCAAUAAAUU